UUAUCCAAAUAACAAGGAAGUGUACAACACUUGCGUUACAGUCCUGGGGCUCUACAUCUAAAUAAUAUCAUAUAAUACAUAGAUAUCUAUAUCAAAUAAUACAUAUUAUCACGGCCAAAAGCUGUGUGCACCUCCAGACGAUAUAAUGAAUCACAAAGGACUUCGUCGGGUUCUCCGACGUCUCUGGUUCUUCCACUUCCACAUCAAUCUGAAGAAGACGCGGUCGUUUGAGAUUCAUAAUAGCCUAUCGUCUGGAGGCUCACACAGCUUUUGGCCGUGAUAAUAUAUAUUAUAUAUUAUAUGAUAUAGAUAUCUAUGUAUAAUAUGGGUUUCUAAGAGCCAUUGCGAUACAUCCACCGUAAACAGCGCAUGCGCAUGGUACUGUGGCUACAAGCUGCUCAGGGCCACACCCCCACCCCCCUCCUUGACCUGCCUUGACACGCCCACCGUAACCAGAGCGCAUGGUACUGUGGCUACAAGCUGCUCAGGGCCACACCCCCACCCCCCUCCUUGACCUGCCUUGACACGCCCACCGAAACAGCGCGUUUGGGGGAAGCUCAAUGUGCGACUGGUUCGGAGUGGCUGUAACUCUGCACCACGGCUGAAUUUCGGGGACGUCUUUGAAUACUGUGUUUGUGGCCCACUAAUACCUAUAUUAAAGCAUCCAUAAAAUAGCAUGGCAUGGGAUCUUUAACCAAUCUUUGUGCAUGCUUUACUAAUCCGUGCGCACAAUUAACAGAUCCGUUCGCACGUCUUCGCAGGUUAGACAAAUGGGAAUCAUACCGGUGAUAGCACCUUAAGUUUGCCGUGGAGCAUGAAUAUCUUUUGAGGAACCAAUAUCUUUCUAACUUGAAUAAAAAAUACCACUUUCAACCACGCAGAACACUCAAGCAACAACCCAAACACAUCGACAACUUAGAAAACCCACCCGGAACACCCUAAAAACCAUACAGAAACACUUGCAACCAUUUAAAAUAUCCUAGCAACCAACCAUAAGACCCUAACAACCAACCAUUACAACCUAGCAACCACCUUGAACACUAUAGCCAGUGUUGGGCAAGUUACUUCAAAAGCGUAAUGCAUUAUUUAUUACUUGUUACUGUCAUUUCAAAGUAAUUAGUUACAUUACAGUAUUACUGUCUAUGAAUUGGAGGGCAUUACACUAAUUUUACAUUACUUUUGCAUUACUUUCACCAAAACAACAGGAAAUAUGGAUUUGGUGUUCUCAAUAGAUCUUCUUGUGUUCAAUGCAGCUCAGUACACAGCAGGAGGUGAUGUGGUUGGCAUAAUGACUGAGCUAGGCUUAAGGCUAACAAAUGUACAAUAUAAUGGUCGUAGUUAUGGCUCAUGGUGCAAUACAUUUUAUAAUAGAAAUACUGUAUAUUUAGGUAUUGAAAUCAAUAGAGAUUGUAAAAAAAAAAGUCAUGACAAGAUACACAACCCUUUUUACAUUUCUAUCCCUUUAUUUUCUUUCAUUCACAGAGAAUUCAUAGCAUAAUGAAUGACAUAGCGUCAUAGCUAGACCUACAUAAUGGCUAUGGCCAUAGGUACCCCCCCCCCCCCGUCAACCACUCAGUGCAGCUUAAACUUGGGCAGUGAGACGGAAGCCAGUAGCGCAGCUUUGGAUUCAAUAGUUAGUGUGACAGACUGUUCUCUGUUUAGUCUGGAAAAGGAGGUGUGUCCCUCGUGAGUUGCCAUAGGGGGGAAGUUCGGGGUAGUGUUACGGCUGAUGUGUUGUGUGCUGUGGGUGUGUCUGAGAUUUAGCUGAAGCGGAGUUGGCUGCUGAACACACUAUCUUGUCUCCGGUCCCGUUCAUUGUCUUCUAUAAUACUACAGUAUAGGCGAACCCAGAACGCUCGGCUACAGUAGCAUUCCCAUCUCGCAAAUGUAGAGUUCAACUCUGCUACCGCUGUCAUCUUCUCCUCUAGCAGUAAGACGAAGUAAACAUUUGCGCGUUUUUUUCUCCUCUGCGAAUCUCGCGGUGUUGGCGAAUUUGUAUAAAAACUGCACCCCAGUAAAUUUCGGGUUAAAAAUGCAUUGUAACGCGCGUUACUGAGAUUUGUACCGAGUAAAAUAU